rnacentral:sRNA from 1 species
UCAUUGGGUACAACAGCAGCAGUACAC